CAGGGAAUAUUGCUUAAUGGGCGAAAGCCUGAAGCAGCAACGCCGCGUGUGUGAAGAAGGCCUUCGGGUUGUAAAACACUUUUUGAGGGAAUGAGGAAGGACAGUACCCUCAGAAUAAGCCUCGGCUAACUACGUGCCAGCAGCCGCGGUAAAACGUAGGAGGCGAGCGUUAUCCGGAUUUACUGGGCGUAAAGCGCGUGCAGGCGGCACGGCAAGUUGGAUGUGAAAGCUCCCGGCUUAACUGGGAGAGGUCGUUCAAAACUGCCGAGCUAGAGUGCGGGAGAGGGAGGUGGAAUUCCGGGUGUAGUGGUGAAAUGCGUAGAUAUCCGGAGGAACACCAGUGGCGAAAGCGGCCUCCUGGUCCGCAACCGACGCUCAGACGCGAAAGCUAGGGUAGCAAACGG
rnacentral:rRNA from 1 species